GCUGGGCAUAGUGCCGUGUGCCUGUAAUCCCAGCUACUUGGGAAGCUGAGGCAGGAGAAUUGCUUGAACCCGGGAAGAGGAGGUUGCAGUGAACAGAGAUCGCACCACUGCACUCCAGCCUGGGUGACAGAGCAAGACUCCGUCUCAA
rnacentral:SRP_RNA from 1 species